CAUUUUUAAUGUCCUUAUAACUCAAAUGUAUAAGGUGCUUAGUUUGGCAAAAACGAGAUGUAAUUUUAGCUAAAAAAUAAUGGUUGUCUACAAGUUAAUUUUGACUCUCUCUCCAUCUGUACAAAAGUUCAUGUUUUUAUUGUGAGUGGCAUAAGGAGUUUUUAAAGGUUUAAAUUAUGUUUACUUUUAGUCACAAGGUAGAAAAAUAGAAGAAUAUGAACACUACAUCAGCACAUUUCACAAUCAUAUACUGUUUUUAACGACGGAUUCACAUUCAUAUAGAGAUAUAGAAAAAAGAUAUAGCAAAAUACGACCAUAUUGUCUAUCCAACACCAUAUUAGCAAUAGGUUAAUCAAUCUGCCUUCUCUUUGUCACAAUUGAAAUCCCC
rnacentral:lncRNA from 1 species